GAUGAACGCUAGCGGCAGGCCUAACACAUGCAAGUCGAGGGGGAAGUUACUUUCGGGUAACAGAGACCGGCGUACGGGUGCGUAACGCGUAUACAAUCUGCCUUUCACUGGGGGAUAGCCCGAAGAAAUUUGGAUUAAUACCCCAUAGUAUAGUAAUACGGCAUCGUGAUACUAUUAAAGCUUAGGUGGUGAAAGAUGAGUAUGCGUUCUAUUAGUUAGUUGGAGAGGUAACGGCUCCCCAAGGCGAUGAUAGAUAGGGGCUCUGAGAGGGAUGUCCCCCACACUGGUACUGAGAUACGGACCAGACUCCUACGGGAGGCAGCAGUGAGGAAUAUUGGACAAUGGUCGGAAGACUGAUCCAGCCAUGCCGCGUGCAGGAUGAAGGUCUUAUGGAUUGUAAACUGCUUUUGUAAGGGAAGAAUAAGGGCUACGUGUAGUUUGAUGACGGUACCUUACGAAUAAGCAUCGGCUAACUCCGUGCCAGCAGCCGCGGUAAUACGGAGGAUGCGAGCGUUAUCCGGAAUCAUUGGGUUUAAAGGGUCUGUAGGCGGGCUGGUAAGUCAGAGGUGAAAGCGCUCAGCUCAACUGAGCAACUGCCUUUGAAACUGUUGGUCUUGAAUGGUUGUGAAGUAGUUGGAAUGUGUAGUGUAGCGGUGAAAUGCUUAGAUAUUACACAGAACACCGAUAGCGAAGGCAUAUUACUAACAAUUGAUUGACGCUGAUGGACGAAAGCGUGGGGAGCGAACAGG
rnacentral:rRNA from 1 species